UUGUGGAGGAGGACGCCGAAGGUGGGGCUAAUGACUGGGGUGAAGUCGUAACAAGGUAGCCGUACCGGAAGGUGCGGCUGGAUCACCUCCUAACAGGGAGACAACAAAAUGUUUAAUAUUAUUUUGUCACCUUAGGUCGAUCGGUAUCUCACGUUUUUAAUUUAUUAAGAAUUUCAUUUCCUAAGUUUUUCUAGGUCACACCCAUUAUUUUUCCUGGGCCAUUAGCUCAGGUGGUUAGAGCGCACCCCUGAUAAGGGUGAGGUCCCUGGUUCAAGUCCAGGAUGGCCCAUAUCUCUAUGUUGGGGGUAUAGCUCAGUUGGUAGAGCGCCUGCUUUGCAAGCAGGAUGUCAGCGGUUCGAGUCCGCUUACCUCCACUGAUUACCACCUCUUCCAUAAAUUUGUAUUAAGGAAAUGUUUUGAGUUGUGAUCAAAUUCUGAACGAAUCUAGCUUCCUAAUGAAACCAUUAAGAUGCUGGACUCAUUGAAUUAAUUUCAUUGUUUUCAGAGAACCUUGACAACUGCAUAGAUUAUUUUUAAAGACAAUAAGCAUCUUUUAAUGAUGCAGAUUUAUUAUUUGUGCAAAUGCAUUAAUAACAAUUCUAUUAAGCUGAUGCUUCAAUUUUGAAGUUAUUGGUCAAGCUACAA
rnacentral:misc_RNA from 1 species